AUUGAACGCUGGCGGCAUGCCUUACACAUGCAAGUCGAACGGCAGCAUGAUCUAGCUUGCUAGAUUGAUGGCGAGUGGCGAACGGGUGAGAAAUACAUCGGAACGUGCCCUGUAGUGGGGGAUAACUAGUCGAAAGAUUAGCUAAUACCGCAUACGACCUGAGGGUGAAAGUGGGGGACCGCAAGGCCUCAUGCUAUAGGAGCGGCCGAUGUCUGAUUAGCUAGUUGGUGGGGUAAAGGCCCACCAAGGCGACGAUCAGUAGCUGGUCUGAGAGGACGAUCAGCCACACUGGGACUGAGACACGGCCCAGACUCCUACGGGAGGCAGCAGUGGGGAAUUUUGGACAAUGGGGGCAACCCUGAUCCAGCAAUGCCGCGUGUGUGAAGAAGGCCUUCGGGUUGUAAAGCACUUUUGUCCGGAAAGAAAUCGCACUUACUAAUAUUAGGUGUGGAUGACGGUACCGGAAGAAUAAGGACCGGCUAACUACGUG
rnacentral:rRNA from 1 species